GCCUGUUUGGCCUAAUUAUUAAGGCUCCAGGCUAGAAACCAGGAGACUGUGAGUUCUAGUCCUGCCUUAGGCA
rfam:Ophiophagus hannah scaffold868.1, whole genome shotgun sequence.